ensembl:misc_RNA 7SK 7SK RNA
GGAUAUGAGGGUGAUCUGGCUGCGACAUGUGUCACCCCAAUGAUCGCCAGGGAUGAUUCGGCUGAUCUGGCUGGCGAGGUGGGUGUCCCCUUCCUCCCUCACCGCUCCAUGUGCGCUGGGUUGAAGAGGACGACCAUCCCCCAUAGAGGAGGGCCAGUCUUCGGUCAAGGGUAUACGAGUAGCUACGCUCCCCUGCUAGAACCUCCAAACAAGCUCUAAAAAUGCUUGACACCGGGCACUGGUAGCUCAGACCUGUGAUCCUACCUACUCAAGAGGCUGAGAUCUGAGAAUUGCAGUUCAAAGCC